rnacentral:rRNA from 1 species
UUAAGUUAGAAAGGGCGCACGGUGGAUGCCUUGACACUAGGAGUCGAUGAAGGACGGGACUAACGCCGAUAUGCUUCGGGGAGCUGUAAGUAAGCUUUGAUCCGAAGAUUUCCGAAUGGGGAAACCCACCAUACGUAAUGGUAUGGUAUCCUUAUCUGAAUACAUAGGAUAAGGAAGACAGACCCAGGGAACUGAAACAUCUAAGUACCUGGAGGAAGAGAAAGCAAAUGCGAUUUCCUGAGUAGCGGCGAGCGAAACGGAACAUAGCCCAAACCAAGAGGCUUGCCUCUUGGGGUUGUAGGACAUUCUAUACGGAGUUACAAAGGAACGAGGUAGACGAAGCGACCUGGAAAGGUCCGUCGUAGAGGGUAACAACCCCGUAGUCGAAACUUCGUUCUCUCUUGAAUGUAUCCUGAGUACGGCGGAACACGUGAAAUUCCGUCGGAAUCUGGGAGGACCAUCUCCCAAGGCUAAAUACUCCCUAGUGAUCGAUAGUGAACCAGUACCGUGAGAGAAAGGUGAAAAGCACCCCGGAAGGGGAGUGAAAGAGAUCCUGAAACCGUGUGCCUACAAAUAGUCAGAGCCCGUUAACGGGUGAUGGCGUGCCUUUUGUAGAAUGAACCGGCGAGUUACGAUCCCGUGCGAGGUUAAGCUGAAGAGGCGGAGCCGCAGCGAAAGCGAGUCUGAAUAGGGCGUUUAGUACGUGGUCGUAGACCCGAAACCAGGUGAUCUACCCAUGUCCAGGGUGAAGUUCAGGUAACACUGAAUGGAGGCCCGAACCCACGCACGUUGAAAAGUGCGGGGAUGAGGUGUGGGUAGCGGAGAAAUUCCAAUCGAACCUGGAGAUAGCUGGUUCUCCCCGAAAUAGCUUUAGGGCUAGCCUUAAGUGUAAGAGUCUUGGAGGUAGAGCACUGAUUGGACUAGGGGUCCUCAUCGGAUUACCGAAUUCAGUCAAACUCCGAAUGCCAAUGACUUAUCCUUAGGAGUCAGACUGCGAGUGAUAAGAUCCGUAGUCAAAAGGGAAACAGCCCAGACCGCCAGCUAAGGUCCCAAAGUGUGUAUUAAGUGGAAAAGGAUGUGGAGUUGCUUAGACAACUAGGAUGUUGGCUUAGAAGCAGCCACCAUUUAAAGAGUGCGUAAUAGCUCACUAGUCGAGUGACUCUGCGCCGAAAAUGUACCGGGGCUAAAUACACCACCGAAGCUGCGGAUUGAUACCAAUGGUAUCAGUGGUAGGGGAGCGUUCUAAGGACAGUGAAGUCAGACCGGAAGGACUGGUGGAGUGCUUAGAAGUGAGAAUGCCGGUAUGAGUAGCGAAAGACGGGUGAGAAUCCCGUCCACCGAAUGCCUAAGGUUUCCUGAGGAAGGCUCGUCCGCUCAGGGUUAGUCAGGACCUAAGCCGAGGCCGACAGGCGUAGGCGAUGGACAACAGGUUGAUAUUCCUGUACCACCUCUUUAUCGUUUGAGCAAUGGAGGGACGCAGAAGGAUAGAAGAAGCGUGCGAUUGGUUGUGCACGUCCAAGCAGUUAGGCUGAUAAGUAGGCAAAUCCGCUUAUCGUGAAGGCUGAGCUGUGAUGGGGAAGCUCCUUAUGGAGCGAAGUCUUUGAUUCCCCGCUGCCAAGAAAAGCUUCUAGCGAGAUAAAAGGUGCCUGUACCGCAAACCGACACAGGUAGGCGAGGAGAGAAUCCUAAGGUGUGCGAGAGAACUCUGGUUAAGGAACUCGGCAAAAUGACCCCGUAACUUCGGGAGAAGGGGUGCUUUCUUAACGGAAAGCCGCAGUGAAUAGGCCCAAGCGACUGUUUAGCAAAAACACAGCUCUCUGCGAAGCCGUAAGGCGAAGUAUAGGGGGUGACACCUGCCCGGUGCUGGAAGGUUAAGGAGAGGGGUUAGCGUAAGCGAAGCUCUGAACUGAAGCCCCAGUAAACGGCGGCCGUAACUAUAACGGUCCUAAGGUAGCGAAAUUCCUUGUCGGGUAAGUUCCGACCCGCACGAAAGGUGUAACGAUUUGGGCACUGUCUCAACCAGAGACUCGGUGAAAUUAUAGUACCUGUGAAGAUGCAGGUUACCCGCGACAGGACGGAAAGACCCCGUGGAGCUUUACUGUAGCCUGAUAUUGAAUUUUGGUACAGUUUGUACAGGAUAGGCGGGAGCCUUUGAAACCGGAGCGCUAGCUUCGGUGGAGGCGCUGGUGGGAUACCGCCCUGACUGUAUUGAAAUUCUAACCUACGGGUCUUAUCGACCCGGGAGACAGUGUCAGGUGGGCAGUUUGACUGGGGCGGUCGCCUCCUAAAGUGUAACGGAGGCGCCCAAAGGUUCCCUCAGAAUGGUUGGAAAUCAUUCGUAGAGUGCAAAGGCAUAAGGGAGCUUGACUGCGAGACCUACAAGUCGAGCAGGGACGAAAGUCGGGCUUAGUGAUCCGGUGGUUCCGCAUGGAAGGGCCAUCGCUCAACGGAUAAAAGCUACCCCGGGGAUAACAGGCUUAUCUCCCCCAAGAGUCCACAUCGACGGGGAGGUUUGGCACCUCGAUGUCGGCUCAUCGCAUCCUGGGGCUGUAGUCGGUCCCAAGGGUUGGGCUGUUCGCCCAUUAAAGCGGUACGCGAGCUGGGUUCAGAACGUCGUGAGACAGUUCGGUCCCUAUCCGUCGUGGGCGUAGGAAAUUUGAGAGGAGCUGUCCUUAGUACGAGAGGACCGGGAUGGACGCACCGCUGGUGUACCAGUUGUUCUGCCAAGGGCAUAGCUGGGUAGCUAUGUGCGGAAGGGAUAAGUGCUGAAAGCAUCUAAGCAUGAAGCCCCCCUCAAGAUGAGAUUUCCCAUAGCGUAAGCUAGUAAGAUCCCUGAAAGAUGAUCAGGUUGAUAGGUUCGAGGUGGAAGCAUGGUGACAUGUGGAGCUGACGAAUACUAAUAGAUCGAGGACUUAACCAU